rnacentral:rRNA from 1 species
GAACGCAUACUUUAGAGUAUGAGUGGCAGACGGGUGAGUAACGCGUGAGACAUCUACCUUACAGCCCGGUAUAAAUAUCUAUAUAGAGGCGAAAAUCUUUAUAUAUGAGUGAAUCCCGGAUAUUUUGAAUAAAAAAAAAGGCAAAGAACCGUUGUAAGAUGAGCUCGCAUAGGAUUAGGUAGUUGGUAAGGUAAAAGCUUAUCCAAGCCGAUGAUCCUUAGCUGUUCUGAGAGGAUGAUCAGCCACACUGGGACUGAGACACGGCCCAGACGCUUUCGAGCGGCAGCAGUGAGGAAUUUUGGACAAUGGGCGAAAGCCUGAUCCAGCUAUAUCGCAUGAAUGAAGAAGGCUCAAUUGGUUGUAAAAUUCAUAGUUUCAUUGUAGAUUAUGACAUUGAUGAAAUGAAUAGUCCCGGCCAACUCCGUGC